CCCUAUGGGGUGCAGCAGGCCGGUAUCAACAUUGAGCUUUCGCGCCAUGCCAAUGAGAAUGCUUGCGGGAAUAUCCCGCUUGCCAUCUUCAUAACAAUUGUAUGUCUCUACAGGCACUUUGAGAUGUUCUGCCAUCUCCUCGGGGCUUACCCGAUUAAGAUCCCUUAGCUCACGCAGACGCGAGCCGAUUUCAUCAAGCCUCUCCUUCAUGGUCAUUCCUCGAAGCAUCCCUUGCACCCGGCAAUAGAUGCGGUGCUCGCAAUGCAGGAUUGUGACUGCCUCACCUGCAUAUUUUAAUCUAUCUCCAGGAUAGGGCCCCAUACAGUUCAUCUGCCUGCAUCUGCCCAUUCGGUCUAUCAUAAAACCUUUUUAAUUAAGUUGGAGAUUAUGGAUAGGAAAGAGAUCCGAAAUUAGAUGGAAGAGCUGGAUGGCGGGAGAGC
rnacentral:rRNA from 1 species